rnacentral:rRNA from 1 species
UACGAAGGGGCGUAGCGUUGUUCGGAAUUACUGGGCGUAAAGGGUAGCGUAGGUGGUUAUGUAAGUCAGAAGUGAAAGCCCUGGGCUCAACCCGGGAAUUGCUUUUGUAAACUAUUUAGCUAGAGUUCGAGAGAGGUAAGUGGAAUAUCCAGUGUAGAGGUAAAAUUCGUAGAUAUUGGAUGGAACACCAGUGGCGAAGGCGGCUUACUGGCUCGAUACUGACACUGAGGUGCG